GAAGGAACCAGAUCUAGGGUUUCAAGGUUAGAUCUUGAAACUUUUUCAAGAUCAUACAGCGGAAGACUAAAAUAAAUCAAAAUUUAUUUUCUAAGAUCAGAAAAUCUCUAGAUCUAAGAUCCUAUUACAUGAUUAUUACAUAGCAUUAAAUCAAAAAUUAAAACAUAUAUGAAUAUAGUAUAAACUACAUGUUGAUCAUAUCAACAUGUUUCUAUACUAGCUACAUCUAAUGUAUGUAUUAAAUAAUAGAUCAGAUCUAUUACCUUGCAAGUCAGACGCUCUAACCUCGCUGAUCCGGGCUUAAGGAUGAUGUUGCAAGCCGCACACGUGUCCGGCCUCUAGGAGUCGUCCACACGAGCCCACGAAUCUC
rnacentral:lncRNA from 1 species